GGUCUGGACAAUGUAUAAAAAUUAACAUAUAAAAUGAGUACAUUAACAAGGAAAUAAUAAAAACAUAAAAAUAAGACAAAAGACUUAUUAACAUAUAGGAUUUAUAAAAGGGAAAAAGUGUUGGCUAUAGAAGCCUUUUCUAAGCGAUCACCAGAAAUCGGGAAUUUAUAAAAUUCUGGCCAAGAUCAACAAUAAAUAGCAACCUACAACUUACAUAGGUGUUACUAUGAAAACACUAAAAAAAGAGGAUCAAGGAGCACAAAAAAGAUCCAGCUAAUGGGAAAGUUACCACUACCCUGGCUAUAGAAAUCUUUUCUAAUGAUUUGCAAAUGGACUGGAAUAAUACAAAAAUCAUAAAAGCUAUACCUGUAAAAUCCCAAGCUUAUUUGACGGAAUCCUUAGAAAUCCUAAAGGCUAAACAUAAAGAACAUCUACUUAAUGACAGACCAACUGUGGGCUUCCCUCAUUAUGGACAUAUGAGAAAGUGGAAAGAAGGACAACAGAAAACAAAGGCCACCACUGGAAACACCUAAAAAAACCUAUUUUUACAGUUUUACAUAUUAACUUUUUCAAAUCAUAUAUGUUAACAAGCCUUUUGUUUUAUUUUAUUUAAAAGAAUUC
rnacentral:lncRNA from 1 species